AUACGGAGGAUGCGAGCGUUAUCCGGAUUUAUUGGGUUUAAAGGGUGCGUAGGCGGUUUGUCAAGUCAGCGGUGAAACGCAAGGGCUUAACCCUUGACCUGCCGUUGAAACUGAUUGACUAGAAUGCGGAUGCUGUGGGAGGAAUGGGGGGUGUAGCGGUGAAAUGCAUAGAUAUCACACAGAACACCGAUUGCGAAGGCAUCUCACAAAUCCGUGAUUGACGCUGAGGCACGAAAGUGUGGGGAUCAAACAGGAUUAGAUACCCUGGUAGUCCACACUGUAAACGAUGAUAACUCGCUGUCGGCGAUACACAGUCGGUGGCCAAGCGAAAGCGAUAAGUUAUCCACCUGGGGAGUACGACCGCAAGGUUGAAACUCAAAGGAAUUGACGGGG
rnacentral:rRNA from 1 species